GUGCUCUCUUUGGCAGCACACAUAGUAAAAUUGGAAUGAUACAGGGAAGAUUACAUCACUCCUGUACAGGAAGACUCACAAAUUUGUGAAGUAUUCCCUAUUUAA
ensembl:snRNA U6 U6 spliceosomal RNA